rnacentral:rRNA from 1 species
GACGAACGCUGGCGGCGUGCUUAACACAUGCAAGUCGAACGAUGAUGCCCAGCUUGCUGGGUGGAUUAGUGGCGAACGGGUGAGUAACACGUGAGUAACCUGCCCCUGACUCUGGGAUAAGCGUUGGAAACGACGUCUAAUACUGGAUAUGACUGCCGGCCGCAUGGUCUGGUGGUGGAAAGAUUUUUUUGGUUGGGGAUGGACUCGCGGCCUAUCAGCUUGUUGGUGAGGUAAUGGCUCACCAAGGCGACGACGGGUAGCCGGCCUGAGAGGGUGACCGGCCACACUGGGACUGAGACACGGCCCAGACUCCUACGGGAGGCAGCAGUGGGGAAUAUUGCACAAUGGGCGAAAGCCUGAUGCAGCAACGCCGCGUGAGGGAUGACGGCCUUCGGGUUGUAAACCUCUUUUAGUAGGGAAGAAGCGAAAGUGACGGUACCUGCAGAAAAAGCACCGGCUAACUACGUGCCAGCCGCCGCGGUAA